rnacentral:lncRNA from 1 species
AGUGUUCUCUUGUAUUUCUUUAAGUGAGUUAUUAAAUUCCUUCUUUAUGUUCUCUACCAUCAUCAUGAAAUAUGCUUUUAAAUCCAGGUCUACCUUUUCAGGUGUGUUAGGGUGCCCUGGACUGGGCGAAGUGGGCGUUCUCGGUUCUGAUGAUGGACUGACAUUCGCUAUUUUCUCACUGAAACUGCUUGCCGACCGAUUGCAGAGGAGAUGAACUCCAAGUCAUGAACAAGGCAUUACUGAGCCCCUUUGCUGUGCACACUUAUCUUUACAAGGUUGCGUUGUAACAGCACACAAAAUCGUACCCAAUUCUUGUAGCUCAGAAGCUUGCAUUAAAGUGAAAUGAGGAAGUUCUAUUUAAAGGCCUCAUGGUAUAAGCACCCCUGACCUGACAAAUUCAAGUUCAGAGUGAAUGAGCAGGAGAAUGGUAGAUGAAGAAGUGAGCAGGGCGAUCAGGGUCUGUUUGGAGCCUCUUUGGAAGAGGAAGUCAGAUUAGAUAAAGACUCAAGGGAGAAGCCUUGAUAACAGAAUGAGAACUCCUGAGAACAGAUACCAGAGAGCUUCUUCUCCCUGCCCUGUGAUAACACCGUGUGACCAGGAAAACCACAUACCACCAUGAGGACCCUCACCAGAACCCGACUAUUUGACACCCUUAUCUUACUCUUAGAGGCUCCAGGACUGUAAGAAAACACACUUCUUUAUUUAAACCACUCAAGUCUGGCUAUUUUCAAUGCUAGCUAAGAUGGCUAAUACAGGCUACAAGAAAACACGGGAGACAAGGCUGCCAGGGGCUUGAGUGGCUCCAAGGUGGCCCUUAAAUUCAGCGAGGAUGGAGACAAUAGGUGGAGGGAGUUCCAGAUGGGAAACUCAGCAGCUCAAAUCUGGACACAGGAACUCUGAAAGUGCUAUCAGAUAUCCAGAGAAAUAUCAUGUGUAACAGCUGAAUAAAACUUUCAAAUAUAGAUA